rnacentral:rRNA from 1 species
GGCGGCAGGCCUAAAACAUGCAAGUCGAGCGCCCAGCAAUGGGAGCGGCGGACGGGUGAGUAACACGUGGGAACGUACCUUUCGGUUCGGAACAACUCAGGGAAACUUGAGCUAAUGCCGAAUUCGCCCUAACGGGGAAAGAUUUAUCGCCGAAAGAUCGGCCCGCGUAAGAUUAGCUAGUUGGUGAGGUAACGGCCCACCAAGGCGACGAUCUUUAGCUGGUUUGAGAGAACGACCAGCCACACUGGGACUGAGACACGGCCCAGACUCCUACGGGAGGCAGCAGUGGGGAAUAUUGGACAAUGGGCGAAAGCCUGAUCCAGCAAUGCCGCGUGAGUGAUGAAGGCCUUAGGGUUGUAAAGCUCUUUUACCCGGGAUGAUAAUGACAGUACCGGGAGAAUAAGCUCCGGCUAACUCCGUGCCAGCAGCCGCGGUAAUACGGAGGGAGCUAGCGUUGUUCGGAAUUACUGGGCGUAAAGCGCACGUA